rnacentral:sRNA from 1 species
GGUUUUGACUUGGCUGAUCUGGCUGGCUAGGUGGUGUUCCCUUCCUCCCUCACUGCUCCAUGUGCGUCUCCCAAAGCUGUGUGCUCAAAGAGGAAGACCUUCCCUGAUAGAGGAGGACCCUGUUCUUUGGUAAAGGGUAUAAGACUAGCUGUGCUCCCCUGCUGGAACCUCCAAACAAGCUCUCAAAGCCCUUCUUUUUGGUUUAGUUAUUAACAGACCCCUCU